GUGCUCGCUUCAGCAGCACAUAUACUAAAAUUGGAAUGAUACAGAGAAGAUUAGCAUGGCCCCUGAGCACGGAUGACACGCAAAUUCCUGAAGCGUUCCAUAAAAAA
rnacentral:snRNA from 1 species